rnacentral:lncRNA from 1 species
AGAAUGCACUGAGAACGUGACCGUUUAGAGGAGUUCAACGGUAUUUUGUCUUUUAUGUGAUACUGUUGUGAGUGUGGUGUUCAAGAUUGAACACAGGACCUCAUGCACAGCAGGUACCCUCUGUACCCUCGUUGACUGUCCUACAAGAUGAGACAUUACAGCAUCUCUAAUUUCCAAGUAUCCCCAUCUUGGUUCAAAGAAGAAACUGAGCAUCAAUGGAGUUGCUCCAGUUGUGGCAAGAUAGCCAGCCACUAUGGCCUUAAUUCAUCUACACACAAAAAUACUGCCCAGGAAAAGGACGGAAUAUGGGGAACAGUCGACCAAUAGCUCUGCCAAUACAGGAAUAAAGUUCAUUUACCCACUAUGGCUUCCAGUUCCACUGUAAUCUGGCAUUGGUCUUUUUUCUGCUUUUCACCUGAGAUUCUCUGGAUGAUAACCUGAAGCUCUUUGCUUGACAUAGUCCUUAUUUGGCUCAGUAUUGCCUGAGGCAAAGCAAUAAGCAGCUUGGGAAUAUUUGAUUAUUAAAAAUUGAGUUGACUGGCAUAUUUUUUUCAAAGUAUGAAGAUGGAGAGAUUAUAAAAUCACUGACUUGAAAGUAACUGGCAUACUGCUGGAUGGCUAAGGAAAAUAACAACCCCAAAAAGCCGCAAGAAAAUCAGAAGUAUGAACACUCUGGUGCCAAAAUGCCUUUGGGAAAUUGUUACAUGAUGGUCCUGAUUGAGAGUUUGAUGUAAGGGAAAUUGUCUGGCUAGUAUAAAGGGGAAAUUGUGGCAGGUCAGAAAAAAGUCAUAAUUCAGGGGCUACCGGAUUGUGAG